rnacentral:rRNA from 1 species
AUUGAACGCUGGCGGCAUGCCUUACACAUGCAAGUCGAACGGCUGCAUGGGUGCUUGCACCUGAUGGCGAGUGGCGAACGGGUGAGUAAUGCAUCGGAACGUACCCGGAAGUGGGGGAGUAACGUAGCGAAAGUUACGCUAAUACCGCAUAUUCUGUGAGCAGGAAAGCGGGGGAGUCGCAAGACCUCGCGCUUCCGGAGCGGCCGAUGUCGGAUUAGCUAGUUGGCGGGGUAAAGGCCCACCAAGGCAACGAUCCGUAGCGGGUCUGAGAGGAGUGAUCCGCCACACUGGGACUGAGACACGGCCCAGACUCCUACGGGAGGCAGCAGUGGGGAAUUUUGGACAAUGGGGGCGAACCCUGAUCCAGCCAUGCCGCGUGAGUGAAGAAGGCCUCGGUGUAAG